rnacentral:rRNA from 1 species
CCUACGGGUGGCAGCAGUCGAGAAUCAUUCACAAUGGGGGAAACCCUGAUGGUGCGACGCCGCGUGGGGGAAUGAAGGUCUUCGGAUUGUAAACCCCUGUCAUGUGGGAGCAAAUUAAAAAGAUAGUACCACAAGAGGACGAGACGGCUAACCCUGUGCCAGCAGCCGCGGUAAUACAGAGGUCUCAAGCGUUGUUCGGAAUCACGUGGCGGAAGGGGUGCGUAGGAUGUUUAGUAAGUCGGGUGUGAAAGGCGAGGGCUCAACCCGCGGCCGGCACAUGAUACUGCGAGACUAGAGUAAAGGAGGGGGAACCGGAAUUCUCGGUGUAGCAGUGAAAUGCGUAGAUAUCGGGAGGAACACUCGUGGCGAAGGCGGGUUCCUGGACAUUAACUGACGCUGAGGCACGAAGGCCAGGGGAGCGAAAGGGAUUAGAUACCCUUGUAGUC